CAGGGAGACAACAAAAUGUUUAAUAUUAUUAUUUUGUCACCUUAGGUCGAUCGGUAUCUCACGUUCUUAAUUUAUUAAGGAUUUUAUUUCCUAAGUUUUUCUAGGUCACACCCAUUAUUUUUCCUGGGCCAUUAGCUCAGGUGGUUAGAGCGCACCCCUGAUAAGGGUGAGGUCCCUGGUUCAAGUCCAGGAUGGCCCAUAUCUCUAUGUUGGGGGUAUAGCUCAGUUGGUAGAGCGCCUGCUUUGCAAGCAGGAUGUCAGCGGUUCGAGUCCGCUUACCUCCACUGAUUACCACCUCUUCCAUAAUCUGUAGAAAGGAAAAUUUUUGAGUUGUGAUCAUAAACCUGAACGAAUCUAGCUUCCUAAUGAAACAUUAAGAUGCUGGACUCAUUGAAUUAAUUUCAUUGUUUUCAGAGAACCUUGACAACUGCAUAGAUUAUUUUUAAAGACAAUAAGCAUCUUUAUGAUGCAGAUUUAUUAUUUGUGCGAAUGCAUUAAUAACAAUUCUAUUAAGCUGAUGCUUCA
rnacentral:tRNA from 1 species